rnacentral:lncRNA from 1 species
GAAUUCUGUUCGCAUAGGUAGGAAAAACAAACAAACAAACAAAAAAACAUCUGAAUCUUACCAUACACACUUUUAACUUAUUCAUCAGACUUGUCAAGUCUCAUGCUUUAAAUGUGAGACUAACACACUUGGAAUCAGCCUUACACCAUCUCCGUACCUCAUGCACCAUGAGAUGACGUGUUUUGGUGUAGAGGUCUGCUUGGUUACCUGACUGUUUACGUCACGGUAGCAAAAACUGCAUUCUUAUAAUCUCUUCCAAUGUUGCUAGCUGUCAAGAACAAUAGAGUUAUCCCUGGAUUAUAAGGAAGUGGAAAGCAUUUUCUCAUAGUUGAUAAAGAAAGAAGAUAAGCAACCUUCUCUGACUGUUACAAAUAAAAAACAGUUUCAAAACUUAGCACAGUUCUUUUAUGCCAGCACAAGAGAGGAAAAUGGGAAAACCAGGCAUGCUGUCUCUAAAAGCGACAGACGUGAGAGAAGAAUGAAGUCUACUGCUUUCAGCUGGGCACAAUGAUUUACACUACUGUCAGUGAAAUCAGAACCAGGUUUCCUGCAUUUCUACUGUUAAAAAAAAAAAAAAAAAAAGAAAAAAAACUCCUCAGAACACGUUGUUCUAACUAGGUGCAAGCAAAGGAAGUUAAUACCUCAAGAAGAAGAUGAACCAAGAUCCUCCAUAAGAAACAGAAGCUUAUAUCUGCAUCACUACAAAAUUGUUUUGAACAGCCAUGUAGAGGGGAACACUAUGGAGGACGGAGGAAGUCACAUGUUUACUUUAAUACUCUUCAUUGCAUAAGAUGUUGCCACAGAAUUACAUAUGAUCAUAAUGAAAAC